rnacentral:rRNA from 1 species
GCAAAACGCGAAGAACCUUACCAGGCCUUGACAUGCAGAGAACUUUCCAGAGAUGGAUUGGUGCCUUCGGGAACGUCUGACACAGGUGCUGCAUGGCUGUCGUCAGCUCGUGUCGUGAGAUGUUGGGUUAAGUCCCGUAACGAGCGCGAACCCUUGUCCUUAGUUACCAGCACGUUAUGGUGGGCACUCUAAGGAGACUGCCGGUGACAAACCGGAGGAAGGUGGGGAUGGACGUCAAGUCAUCAUGGCCCUUAGGCCUGGGCUACGACACGUGCUACAAUGGUCGGUACAGAGGGUUGCCAAGCCGCGAGGUGGAGCUAAUCUCACAAAACCGAUCGUAGUCCGGAUCGCAGUCUGCAACUCGACUGCGUGAAGUCGGAAUCGCUAGUAAUCGCGAAUCAGAAUGUCGCGGUGAAUACGUU